rnacentral:rRNA from 1 species
UAGGGAAUCUUCCGCAAUGGGCGAAAGCCUGACGGAGCAACGCCGCGUGAGUGAUGAAUGUCUUCGGAUCGUAAAACUCUGUUAUUAGGGAAGAACAAAUGUGUAAGUAACUAUGCACGUCUUGACGGUACCUAAUCAGAAAGCCACGGCUAACUACGUGCCAGCAGCCGCGGUAAUACGUAGGUGGCAAGCGUUAUCCGGAAUUAUUGGGCGUAAAGCGCGCGUAGGCGGUUUUUUAAGUCUGAUGUGAAAGCCCACGGCUCAACCGUGGAGGGUCAUUGGAAACUGGAAAACUUGAGUGCAGAAGAGGAAAGUGGAAUUCCAUGUGUAGCGGUGAAAUGCGCAGAGAUAUGGAGGAACACCAGUGGCGAAGGCGACUUUCUGGUCUGUAACUGACGCUGAUGUGCGAAAGCGUGGGGAUCAAACAGG